rnacentral:rRNA from 1 species
UACGUAGGCAGCAAGCGUUGUUCGGAGUUACUGGGCGUAAAGCGUGCGCAGGCGGCUUUGCAAGACAGAUGUGAAAUCCCCGGGCUUAACCUGGGAACUGCAUUUGUGACUGCAUGGCUGGAGUGCGGCAGAGGGGGAUGGAAUUCCGCGUGUAGCAGUGAAAUGCGUAGAUAUGCGGAGGAACACCGAUGGCGAAGGCAAUCCCCUGGGCCUGCACUGACGCUCAUGCACGAAAGCGUGGGGAGCAAACAGG